AUUGAACGCUGGCGGCAUGCCUUACACAUGCAAGUCGAACGGCAGCACGGGAGCAAUCCUGGUGGCGAGUGGCGAACGGGUGAGUAAAGUAUCGGAACGUGCCCAGUCGUGGGGGAUAACGUAGCGAAAGUUACGCUAAUACCGCAUACGAUCUAUGGAUGAAAGCGGGGGAUCGCAAGACCUCGCGCGAUUGGAGCGGCCGAUAUCAGAUGAGGUAGUUGGUGGGGUAAAGGCUCACCAAGCCGACGAUCUGGAGCUGGUCUGAGAAGACCGCCAGCCACACUGGGACUGAGACACGGCCCAGACUCCUACGGGAGGCAGCAGUGAGGAAUUUUGGACGAUCGGCGAAAGCCUGAUCCAGCCAUGCCGCGUGCAGGAUGAAGGCCUUCGGAUUGUAAACUGCUUUUGUACGGAACGAAAAGGUUUGGCCUAAUAAGCUGAGCUCAUGACGGUACCGUAAGAAUAAGCACCGGCUAACUACGUGCCAGCCGCCGCAGUAA
rnacentral:rRNA from 1 species